rnacentral:rRNA from 1 species
UACGUAGGCAGCGAGCGUUGUUCGGAAUUACUGGGCGUAAAGAGUGCGUAGGCGGUGCUCUAAGUCUGUCGUGAAAUCUCCCGGCUCAACUGGGAGGGUGCGGCGGAAACUGGAGUGCUAGAGUGUGGGAGAGGUAAGCGGAAUUCCUGGUGUAGCGGUGAAAUGCGUAGAUAUCAGGAGGAACACCUGCGGUGUAGACAGCUUACUGGACCACGACUGACGCUGAGGCACGAAAGCGUGGGUAGCAAACAGG